rnacentral:rRNA from 1 species
GACGAACGCUGGCGGCGUGCUUAACACACGCAAGUCGAACGGUAAGGCCCUUCGGGGUACACGAGUGGCGAACGGGUGAGUAACACGUGGGUGAUCUGCCCUGCACUUCGGGAUAAGCCUGGGAAACUGGGUCUAAUACCGGAUAGGACCCUGGGAUGCAUGUCCUGGGGUGGAAAGCUUUUGCGGUGUGGGAUGGGCCCGCGGCCUAUCAGCUUGUUGGUGGGGUGAUGGCCUACCAAGGCAACGACGGGUAGCCGGCCUGAGAGGGUGACCGGCCACACUGGGACUGAGAUACGGCCCAGACUCCUACGGGAGGCAACAGUGGGGAAUAUUGCACAAUGGGCGCAAGCCUGAUGCAGCGACGCCGCGUGAGGGAUGACGGCCUUCGGGUUGUAAACCUCUUUCAGCACCGACGAAGCGCAAGUGACGGUAGGUGCAGAAGAAGGACCGGCCAACUACGUGCCAGCCGCCGCAGUAA